rnacentral:rRNA from 1 species
AUUGAACGCUGGCGGCAGGCCUAACACAUGCAAGUCGAGCGGUAGAGAGGUGCUUGCAUCUCUUGAGAGCGGCGGACGGGUGAGUAAUGCCUAGGAAUCUGCCCAGUGGUGGGGGAUAACGUUCGGAAACGGACGCUAAUACCGCAUACGUCCUACGGGAGAAAGCGGGGGAUCUUCGGACCUCGCGCCAUUAGAUGAGCCUAGGUCGGAUUAGCUAGUUGGUGAGGUAAUGGCUCACCAAGGCGACGAUCCGUAACUGGUCUGAGAGGAUGAUCAGUCACACUGGAACUGAGACACGGUCCAGACUCCUACGGGAGGCAGCAGUGGGGAAUAUUGGACAAUGGGCGAAAGCCUGAUCCAGCCAUGCCGCGUGUGUGAAGAAGGUCUUCGGAUUGUAAA